rnacentral:misc_RNA from 1 species
GCAAACUUGGUCAUUUAGAGGAAGUAAAAGUCGUAACAAGGUUUCCGUAGGUGAACCUGCGGAAGGAUCAUUACCAAUCUCUAGCGGGACUUUUUUGGGUCUCGCGAAAAACUUGUAUUUAAAACCCAACUCUUUAAAAAAAAAAUACUAUAUAUACGUUAUACGUAAAUAAAGAUCACUUUCAACAACGGAUCUCUUGGCUCUCCAGGCAAACUUGGUCAUUUAGAGGAAGUAAAAGUCGUAACAAGGUUUCCGUAGGUGAACCUGCGGAAGGAUCAUUACCAAUCUCUAGCGGGACUUUUUUGGGUCUCGCGAAAAACUUGUAUUUAAAACCCAACUCUUUAAAAAAAAAAUACUAUAUAUACGUUAUACGUAAAUAAAGAUCACUUUCAACAACGGAUCUCUUGGCUCUCGCAUCGAUGAAGAACGCAGC